ACUCCUACGGGAGGCAGCAGUGGGGAAUCUUGCACAAUGGGCGAAAGCCUGAUGCAGCAACGCCGCGUGCGGGAAGAAGGCCCUAGGGUUGUAAACCGCUUUCAGUAGGGAAGAAAAUGACGGUACCCACAGACGAUGGUGCGGCCAACUACGUGCCAGCAGCCGCGGUAAU
rnacentral:rRNA from 1 species